GGUUAAGCGACUAAGCGUACACGGUGGAUGCCCUGGCAGUCAGAGGCGAUGAAGGACGUGCUAAUCUGCGAUAAGCGUCGGUAAGGUGAUAUGAACCGUUAUAACCGGCGAUUUCCGAAUGGGGAAACCCAGUGUGUUUCGACACACUAUCAUUAACUGAAUCCAUAGGUUAAUGAGGCGAACCGGGGGAACUGAAACAUCUAAGUACCCCGAGGAAAAGAAAUCAACCGAGAUUCCCCCAGUAGCGGCGAGCGAACGGGGAGCAGCCCAGAGCCUGAAUCAGUGUGUGUGUUAGUGGAAGCGUCUGGAAAGGCGCGCGAUACAGGGUGACAGCCCCGUACACAAAAAUGCACAUACUGUGAGCUCGAUGAGUAGGGCGGGACACGUGGUAUCCUGUCUGAAUAUGGGGGGACCAUCCUCCAAGGCUAAAUACUCCUGACUGACCGAUAGUGAACCAGUACCGUGAGGGAAAGGCGAAAAGAACCCCGGCGAGGGGAGUGAAAAAGAACCUGAAACCGUGUACGUACAAGCAGUGGGAGCACGCUUCGGCGUGUGACUGCGUACCUUUUGUAUAAUGGGUCAGCGACUUAUAUUCUGUAGCAAGGUUAACCGAAUAGGGGAGCCGAAGGGAAACCGAGUCUUAACUGGGCGUUAAGUUGCAGGGUAUAGACCCGAAACCCGGUGAUCUAGCCAUGGGCAGGUUGAAGGUUGGGUAACACUAACUGGAGGACCGAACCGACUAAUGUUGAAAAAUUAGCGGAUGACUUGUGGCUGGGGGUGAAAGGCCAAUCAAACCGGGAGAUAGCUGGUUCUCCCCGAAAGCUAUUUAGGUAGCGCCUCGUGAAUUCAUCUCCGGGGGUAGAGCACUGUUUCGGCAAGGGGGUCAUCCCGACUUACCAACCCGAUGCAAACUGCGAAUACCGGAGAAUGUUAUCACGGGAGACACACGGCGGGUGCUAACGUCCGUCGUGAAGAGGGAAACAACCCAGACCGCCAGCUAAGGUCCCAAAGUCAUGGUUAAGUGGGAAACGAUGUGGGAAGGCCCAGACAGCCAGGAUGUUGGCUUAGAAGCAGCCAUCAUUUAAAGAAAGCGUAAUAGCUCACUGGUCGAGUCGGCCUGCGCGGAAGAUGUAACGGGGCUAAACCAUGCACCGAAGCUGCGGCAGCGACACUAUGUGUUGUUGGGUAGGGGAGCGUUCUGUAAGCCUGUGAAGGUGUGCUGUGAGGCAUGCUGGAGGUAUCAGAAGUGCGAAUGCUGACAUAAGUAACGAUAAAGCGGGUGAAAAGCCCGCUCGCCGGAAGACCAAGGGUUCCUGUCCAACGUUAAUCGGGGCAGGGUGAGUCGACCCCUAAGGCGAGGCCGAAAGGCGUAGUCGAUGGGAAACAGGUUAAUAUUCCUGUACUUGGUGUUACUGCGAAGGGGGGACGGAGAAGGCUAUGUUGGCCGGGCGACGGUUGUCCCGGUUUAAGCGUGUAGGCUGGUUUUCCAGGCAAAUCCGGAAAAUCAAGGCUGAGGCGUGAUGACGAGGCACUACGGUGCUGAAGCAACAAAUGCCCUGCUUCCAGGAAAAGCCUCUAAGCAUCAGGUAACAUUAAAUCGUACCCCAAACCGACACAGGUGGUCAGGUAGAGAAUACCAAGGCGCUUGAGAGAACUCGGGUGAAGGAACUAGGCAAAAUGGUGCCGUAACUUCGGGAGAAGGCACGCUGAUAUGUAGGUGAAGUCCCUCGCGGAUGGAGCUGAAAUCAGUCGAAGAUACCAGCUGGCUGCAACUGUUUAUUAAAAACACAGCACUGUGCAAACACGAAAGUGGACGUAUACGGUGUGACGCCUGCCCGGUGCCGGAAGGUUAAUUGAUGGGGUUAGCGGUAACGCGAAGCUCUUGAUCGAAGCCCCGGUAAACGGCGGCCGUAACUAUAACGGUCCUAAGGUAGCGAAAUUCCUUGUCGGGUAAGUUCCGACCUGCACGAAUGGCGUAAUGAUGGCCAGGCUGUCUCCACCCGAGACUCAGUGAAAUUGAACUCGCUGUGAAGAUGCAGUGUACCCGCGGCAAGACGGAAAGACCCCGUGAACCUUUACUAUAGCUUGACACUGAACAUUGAGCCUUGAUGUGUAGGAUAGGUGGGAGGCUUUGAAGUGUGGACGCCAGUCUGCAUGGAGCCGACCUUGAAAUACCACCCUUUAAUGUUUGAUGUUCUAACGUUGACCCGUGAUCCGGGUUGCGGACAGUGUCUGGUGGGUAGUUUGACUGGGGCGGUCUCCUCCUAAAGAGUAACGGAGGAGCACGAAGGUUGGCUAAUCCUGGUCGGACAUCAGGAGGUUAGUGCAAUGGCAUAAGCCAGCUUGACUGCGAGCGUGACGGCGCGAGCAGGUGCGAAAGCAGGUCAUAGUGAUCCGGUGGUUCUGAAUGGAAGGGCCAUCGCUCAACGGAUAAAAGGUACUCCGGGGAUAACAGGCUGAUACCGCCCAAGAGUUCAUAUCGACGGCGGUGUUUGGCACCUCGAUGUCGGCUCAUCACAUCCUGGGGCUGAAGUAGGUCCCAAGGGUAUGGCUGUUCGCCAUUUAAAGUGGUACGCGAGCUGGGUUUAGAACGUCGUGAGACAGUUCGGUCCCUAUCUGCCGUGGGCGCUGGAGAACUGAGGGGGGCUGCUCCUAGUACGAGAGGACCGGAGUGGACGCAUCACUGGUGUUCGGGUUGUCAUGCCAAUGGCACUGCCCGGUAGCUAAAUGCGGAAGAGAUAAGUGCUGAAAGCAUCUAAGCACGAAACUUGCCCCGAGAUGAGUUCUCCCUGACUCCUUGAGAGUCCUGAAGGAACGUUGAAGACGACGACGUU
rnacentral:rRNA from 1 species